UCUUCAAUCCCUACAUUCAAAGAGCGCUCAAACCACAUAUAAACUACAUACACAAACUUGACCAUAUUUUGGAGAGGGGCAUGUGCACGCCCUGCUCAUUCCACUUUCAUACCCCUGUGCACAUAUAGUAGGCUAUGGUCGGAUGGCUGACUUCACGGUCGGUUGGAAAGCCUUGUCCUAUGUCUUCACACAAACGCUUCAGUUUAAAGAAUGUCUUGCUGCGCUUGGCGCAAUAAAAAUAUACAACUUUCAGCAACGGAUCUCUUGGCUCUCGCAUCGAUGAAGAACGCAGCGAAAUGCGAUAAGUAAUGUGAAUUGCAGAAUUCAGUGAAUCAUCGAAUCUUUGAACGCACCUUGCGCUCCUUGGUAUUCCGAGGAGCAUGCCUGUUUGAGUGUCAUGGAACUCUCAACCUUCAACGCUUUUGCGAGUGACGAAGGCUUGGACUUGGAGGUUGUGUUGGCGCAAGUCAACUCCUCUGAAAUGCAUUAGUGUGAACCUCACGGAUCGCCUUCAGCGUGAUAAUUAUCUGCGCUGUGGACGUUGAAGUGUUUUCGUGUUCGUGCUUCUAACUGUCCGCGAGGACAAGCAAAACAUUUGACAAUCUGACCUCAAAUCAGGUAGGACUACC
rnacentral:rRNA from 1 species